rnacentral:rRNA from 1 species
AGAGUUAAAUAGUACGUGAAAUUGUUGAAAGGGAAACGAUUGAAGUCAGUCAUGCUAGUGAAAAUUCAGUUUGGUGGGUUUUGGGUUCAGGAGUUGAGGCAGGGUCAAACCGUUUCUCUUUUGAACUUGGAAUUUGUCAGAUGCACUUUUUCUUUGGCAGGUCAGCGUCGAUUUCGGAGGUUGUAAAAUACUUGGGGAAAAGUAGCUCUGCUUCGGGAGAGUGUUAUAGACCUUGGGUGAUGCAGCCUGUGGGAUCGAGGAUUGCAGCAAAUGCCUUUGGCAUGUCGCCUGAUCUCUGGAUGUCGCCUCGCUUGUAUCAACAUUCUUGGUGCCGGUGAGUAAUGGUGCUCAUAGGUUAGAGCGAUCAAAAAUUUGCUAAGGAUGCUGACGUAAUGGCUUUAAACGACC